AGAGUUUGAUCCUGGCUCAGGAUGAACGCUAGCGGCAGGCUUAAUACAUGCAAGUCGAGGGGUAACAUGGUAGCAAUACUGAUGACGACCGGCAAACGGGUGCGGAACACGUACAGAACCUUCCUUUAAGCGGGGAAUAGCCCAGAGAAAUUUGGAUUAAUACCCCAUAGUAUUAUUUGAUGGCAUCAUUAGAUAAUUAAAGAUUUAUCACUUAAAGAUGGCUGUGCAGCUGAUUAGGUAGUUGGUGUAGGUAAAGGCUCACCAAGCCUGCGAUCAGUAACUGGUGUGAGAGCACGACCAGUCACACGGGCACUGAGACACGGGCCCGACUCCUACGGGAGGCAGCAGUAAGGAAUAUUGGUCAAUGGACGAAAGUCUGAACCAGCCAUGCCGCGUGAAGGAUGAAGGCCCUCUGGGUUGUAAACUUCUUUUAUAGGGGAAGAAAUGCAUUUUUUCUAAAGUGUUUGACGGUACCCUAGGAAUAAGCACCGGCUAACUCCGUGCCAGCAGCCGCGGUAAUACGGAGGGUGCAAGCGUUAUCCGGAUUCACUGGGUUUAAAGGGUGCGUAGGUGGGUCUGUAAGUCAGUGGUGAAAUCUCCAGGCUUAACCUGGAAACUGCCAUUGAUACUAUAGGUCUUGAAUUUUCUGGAGGUCAGCGGAAUAUGUCAUGUAGCGGUGAAAUGCUUAGAUAUGACAUAGAACACCGAUUGCGAAGGCAGCUGGCUACAGGAACAUUGACACUGAGGCACGAAAGCGUGGGGAUCAAACAGGAUUAGAUACCCUGGUAGUCG
rnacentral:rRNA from 1 species